rnacentral:rRNA from 1 species
GAUGAACGCUGGCGGCGUGCCUAAUACAUGCAAGUCGAGCGAACAGACGAGGAGCUUGCUCCUCUGACGUUAGCGGCGGACGGGUGAGUAACACGUGGAUAACCUACCUAUAAGACUGGGAUAACUUCGGGAAACCGGAGCUAAUACCGGAUAAUAUCUUGAACCGCAUGGUUCAAUAGUGAAAGACGGUUUUGCUGUCACUUAUAGAUGGAUCCGCGCGGCAUUAGCAAGUUGGUAAGGUAACGGCUUACCAAGGCAACGAUGCGUGGCCGACCGGGGAGGUGGUCCGGCCACACGGGAACGGAGCCACGGUCCAGACUCCUACGGGAGGCACCAUUAGGGAAUUUUCCGCAAUGGGCGAAGGCCUGACGGAGCAACGCCGCGUGAGUGAUGAAGUUCUUCGGAUGUUAAAACUCUGUUAUUAGGGAAAAACAAAUGUGUAAGUAACUAUGCACGUCGUGACGGUACCUAAUCAGAAAGCCACGGCUAACUACGUG